UCAGGAUGAACGCUAGCGGCAGGCUUAACACAUGCAAGUCGAGGGGCAUCGGGAGUAGCAAUACUGCCGGCGACCGGCGCAAGGGUGCGUAACGCGUGAGCAACAUGCCCGUAUCAGGGGGAUAAUCCAUGGAAACGUGGUCUAAUACCCCAUAGUAAUUAUGUAAGGCAUCUUAUAUAAUUUAAAGCUUUGGUGGAUACGGAUUGGCUCGCGUGACAUUAGCUAGAUGGUAAGGUAACGGCUUACCAUGGCUACGAUGUCUAGGGGUUCUGAGAGGAAGGUCCCCCACACUGGAACUGAGACACGGUCCAGACUCCUACGGGAGGCAGCAGUGAGGAAUAUUGGACAAUGGAUGGAAAUCUGAUCCAGCCAUGCCGCGUGCAAGGAAGACGGCCCUAUGGGUUGUAAACUGCUUUUGUAUGGGAGCAAUAAGGGCUACGCGUAGUCCGAUGAGAGUACCAUACGAAUAAGCACCGGCUAACUCCGUGCCAGCCGCCGC
rnacentral:rRNA from 1 species